GGAGGAGUGGCCGAGUGGUUUAAGGCGGCGGUCUUGAAAACCGUUGAGCUGCAAGGCUCCGGGGGUUCGAAUCCCUCCUCCUCCGCCA
rnacentral:tRNA from 2 species